UGCCAGACUCCUACGGGAGGCAGCAGUGGGGGAUAUUGCACAAUGGGGGAAACCCUGAUGCAGCAACGCCGCGUGAGGGAAGAAGGUCUUCGGAUUGUAAACCUUUGUUUUUGGUGACGAAUAAUGACGGUAGCCAAAGAGGAAGCUCCGGCUAACUACGUGCCAGCAGCCGCGGUAAUACGUAGGGAGCGAGCGUUGUCCGGAAUUACUGGGUGUAAAGGGUGCGCAGGCGGGAGUGCAAGUUGGAUGUGAAAUGCCGGGGCUCAACCCCGGAGCUGCAUCCAAAACUGUACUUCUUGAGUGAAGUAGAGGCAGGCGGAAUUCCGAGUGUAGCGGUGAAAUGCAUAGAUAUCACGCAGAACUCCGAUUGCGAAGGCAGCGCACCGGCGCCCUACUGACGCUCAGGCACGAAAGCGUGGGUAUCGAACAGGAUUAGAUACCUCGGUA
rnacentral:rRNA from 1 species